AUUGAACGCUAGCGGGAUGCUUUACACAUGCAAGUCGAACGAGUGGCGGACGGGUGAGUAAUGUCUCGGAACGUGCCCAGUGGAGGGGGAUAACUACUCGAAACAGUGGCUAAUACCGCAUACUAUCGGAGGGGCCGAGAUGGGAUUAGCUAGUUGGUGGGGUAAAGGCUCACCAAGGCGACGAUCCGUAGCUGGUCUGAGAGGACGACCAGCCACACUGGGACUGAGACACGGCCCAGACUCCUACGGGAGGCAGCAGUGGGGAAUUUUGGACAAUGGGGGAAACCCUGAUGCAGCCAUCCCGCGUGUAUGAGAAGGCCUUCGGGUUGUAAAGUACUUUUGGCAGAGAAGCGUUAUCUGCAGAAUAAGCACCGGCUAACUACGUGCCAGCCGCCGCGGUAAUAC
rnacentral:rRNA from 1 species